GUCGUAACAAGGUUUCCGUAGGUGAACCUGCGGAAGGAUCAUUAGUGAAUCUAGGACGUCCAACUUAACUUGGAGUCCGAACUCUCACUUUCUAACCCUGUGCAUCUGUUUUAAAAUUGGCUAGUAGCUCUUCGGAGCGAACCACCAUUUUUCACUUAUACAAACACAAAGUCUAUGAAUGUAAACAAAUUUAUAACAAAACAAAACUUUCAACAACGGAUCUCUUGGCUCUCGCAUCGAUGAAGAACGCAGCGAAAUGCGAUACGUAAUGUGAAUUGCAGAAUUCAGUGAAUCAUCGAAUCUUUGAACGCACCUUGCGCUCCUUGGUAUUCCGAGGAGCAUGCCUGUUUGAGUGUCAUGAAAUCUUCAACCCACCUCUUUCUUAGUGAAUCUGGUGGUGCCUGGUUUCUGAGCGCUGCUCUGCUUCGGCUUAGCUCGUUCGUAAUGCAUUAGCAUCCGCAACCGAAACUUCGGAUUGACUUGGCGUAAUAGACUAUUCGCUGAGGAUUCCAGACUUGUUCUGGAGCCGAGUUGGGUUAAAGGAAGCUUCUAAUCCUAAAGUCUAUUUUUUGAUUAGAUCUCAAAUCAGGUAGGACUACCCGCUGAACUUAAGCAUAUCAAUGUCG
rnacentral:rRNA from 1 species